AUUGAACGCUGGCGGCAUGCCUUACACAUGCAAGUCGAACGGCAGCGGACCUUCGGGUGCCGGCGAGUGGCGAACGGGUGAGUAAAGUAUCGGAACGUACCUUUCAGUGGGGGAUAACGUAGCGAAAGUUACGCUAAUACCGCAUAUUCUCUGAGGAGGAAAGCAGGGGACCUUCGGGCCUUGCGCUGAUGGAGCGGCCGAUAUCAGAUUAGCUAGUUGGUGGGGUAAAGGCCUACCAAGGCGACGAUCUGUGGCGGGUCUGAGAGGAUGAUCCGCCACACUGGGACUGAGACACGGCCCAGACUCCUACGGGAGGCAGCAGUGGGGAAUUUUGGACAAUGGGGGCAACCCUGAUCCAGCCAUGCCGCGUGAGUGAAGAAGGCCUUCGGGUUGUAAAGCUCUUUCGGCCGGGAAGAAAUCGCACAGGCUAAUACUCUGUGUGGAUGACGGUACCGGCAUAAGAAGCACCGGCUAACUACGUGCCAGCAGCCGCGGUAAAAC
rnacentral:rRNA from 1 species